rnacentral:rRNA from 1 species
AACGAACGCUGGCGGCAUGCCUAACACAUGCAAGUCGAACGAGACCUUCGGGUCUAGUGGCGCACGGGUGCGUAACGCGUGGGAAUCUGCCCUUGGGUUCGGAAUAACAGUUGGAAACGACUGCUAAUACCGGAUGAUGUCUUCGGACCAAAGAUUUAUCGCCCAGGGAUGAGCCCGCGUAGGAUUAGCUUGUUGGUGAGGUAAAGGCUCACCAAGGCGACGAUCCUUAGCUGGCUGAGAGGAUGAUCAGCCACACUGGGACUGAGACACGGCCCAGACUCCUACGGGAGGCAGCAGUGGGGAUAAUUGGACAAUGGCGAAAGCCUGAUCCAGCAAUGCCGCGUGAGUGAUGAAGGCCUUA